rnacentral:rRNA from 1 species
GAUGAACGCUGGCGGCGUGCCUAACACAUGCAAGUCGAGCGAUUCUCUUCGGAGAAGAGCGGCGGACGGGUGAGUAACGCGUGGGUAACCUGCCCUGUACACACGGAUAACAUACCGAAAGGUAUGCUAAUACGAGAUAAUAUACUUUUAUCACAUGGUAGAAGUAUCAAAGCUUUUGCGGUACAGGAUGGACCCGCGUCUGAUUAGCUAGUUGGUAAGGUAACGGCUUACCAAGGCGACGAUCAGUAGCCGACCUGAGAGGGUGAUCGGCCACAUUGGAACUGAGACACGGUCCAAACUCCUACGGGAGGCAGCAGUGGGGAAUAUUGCACAAUGGGCGAAAGCCUGAUGCAGCAACGCCGCGUGAGUGAUGAAGGCCUUCGGGUCGUAAAGCUCUGUCCUCAAGGAAGAUAAUGACGGUACUUGAGGAGGAAGCCCCGGCUAACUACGUGCCAGCAGCCGCAGUAA